CCCCUAGAUGUUCUGGGCCGCGCGCGCGCUACACUGAACAGUUCAACAAGUCUUAACCUUGGCCGAUAGGUCUGGGUAAUCUUUGAACGCUGUUCGUGAUUGGGAUAGACCUUUGCAAUUAUGGGUCUUCAACGAGGAAUUCCUAGUAAACGCAAGUCAUCAGCUUGCAUUGAUUACGUCCCUGCCCUUUGUACACACCGCCCGUCGCACCUACCGAUUGAAUGGUCCGGUGAAAUCUCGGGACGGCGGCUCGGUCGCUUGCGUCCGACUGCUGAAACUUGAUUAAACCAUAUCAUUUAGAGGAAGGUGAAGUCGUAACA
rnacentral:rRNA from 1 species